GAAAAUGACUACAAUCUCAACGUGAAGCCAAUUAGAGAAACAUUCUGGUGCAAAAUGCAACAAAAAGUCCCGGAAAUUGGUGCAUUAUGGAUGUUUUUAGAAACUCACC